GUAAUACUCCCUCCAUCCCAAAAUUCGUGUCUUAGAUUUGUCUAGAUACAGAUGUAUCUAAUACUAAAACGUGACUUGAUACAUCUGUAUCUAGACAAAUCUAAGACAAGAAUUUUGGGACGGAGGGAGUAUGUA
rnacentral:pre_miRNA from 1 species